AACAUUUGAUCAAACUUAACAUGUUACUUCAGGUGCAUGAUUUAUAAACGUAUGCCAAGUUUUGGGAAAAUUGGUCAUCCAUCCAUCCAUUUUCCAUCCCAGAAUCUUGGGCCACAGAAGGGGGACACCCUGAAGGGAUGUCCAGUUCAUCACAGGGCUGAAAUUUGGGUUCAGAAGAAGAGGAAAGAGAGGAGAUCAAGGAGGACAAAGUUGAAGAGCAAAGUAAAGCAGAUGAUGAAUCUAGUGUAGAAGAGAAGGGCAGUCCUCUAAACAGUAGCGAGGAGGAAAAACUUGCUGAUAGUAGUGACAGUCUGAAGGAUUUUGUUGUGGAGGAAGAGGAACAGAAAAAGGACGAAGAUCAGGAGGAAGAGGGGGAGGCCAAAGACAAGGCCUUUCUCUCUCACCUUCCACGCCAGUUUAUCACAGGAUCUCAGCUCACCCACUUUCAGGUGGUGGUCAAAGCCUUACUGAUCAAUGUACUGGACUCAAGCUUCCUCAAGUCAC